rnacentral:SRP_RNA from 1 species
AGUCAGGUUCUGUGCUAUCGAUUGUCGCCCAACCCCGUCAGGACUGGAAGGUAGCAGCGGUAAGUGAUUAAUUGAUGAGACACAGUCUACUUGACUGGA